rnacentral:tRNA from 1 species
CUUUUGUUAGCAUAAUAGUGCUUCAAAUUUAGGAUUUGACUAUGGUUUAAAACCCACAAAAG